UGGGGGAUAUUGCACAAUGGGCGAAAGCCUGAUGCAGCAAUGCCGCGUGAGGGAAGACGGUUUUCGGAUUGUAAACCUCUGUCCUUGGUGAAGAUAAUGACGGUAGCCAAGGAGGAAGCUCCGGCUAACUACGUGCCAGCAGCCGCGGUAAUACGUAGGGAGCAAGCGUUGUCCGGAUUUACUGGGUGUAAAGGGUGCGUAGGCGGCUUUUUAAGUCGGGCGUGAAAGCUGUGGGCUUAACCCACAAAUUGCGUUCGAAACUGGAAAGCUUGAGUGAAGUAGAGGUAGGCGGAAUUCCCGGUGUAGCGGUGAAAUGCGUAGAGAUCGGGAGGAACACCAGUGGCGAAGGCGGCCUACUGGGCUUUAACUGACGCUGAGGCACGAAAGCAUGGGUAGCAAACAGGAUUAGAUACCCUGGUAGUCCAUGCCGUAAACGAUGAUUACUAGGUGUGGGGGUCUGACCCCUUCCGUGCC
rnacentral:rRNA from 1 species